rnacentral:rRNA from 1 species
UACGAAGGGAGCUAGCGUUGUUCGGAAUCACUGGGCGUAAAGCGCACGUAGGCGGAUGUGUCAGUCAGGGGUGAAAUCCCGGAGCUCAACUUCGGAACUGCCCUUGAUACAGCACGUCUGAGUCCGGAAGAGGUGGGUGGAAUUCCUAGUGUAGAGGUGAAAUUCGUAGAUAUUGGGUGGAACACCGGUGGCGAAAGCGGCUCUCUGGCCCGGUUCUGACGCUGAGGCGCGAAAGCGUGGGGAGCAAACAGG